UGAAGAUGGAGCGGCAGUUCAUGAAGGUGUGGAAGAAUCGACCCAUACACAAUGUGGAACUCCUGAGCGAAAAGAUCCAGGAGCGCGCCAGUCGCCUCAUCCUUGUAGGUGUAUCGCUAACGAGGCCGCUUUGGCUUGUGAGCUGCUGAAACGCGGGGCUAAAGCCAAUGACAAGGAGAUCAACUUAUGCAACUGCAUCCGCCAUUGCGCGCUGAGUCUUAUGUACAUUACAGGGCCGCAUUCAGAUGCCGCCGCUGCUGCAAUGGUGGGCGUUGCCAAGGAGGCCAGGAAGAUUCGUGAGUGGCUGAGGAAUGUGAACGAAUGUUAUCGCUUCAGAUCCUACUCUCGAAGAUACGAGAUUUGUCUUUGUGAUGACAUCCGCGUUGCCACCUUUGAUCUUCUGAAGUAUAUACUGUUGAAUUCUACAGGGCAUAUAUGGAACAAAGAACCGUUUGUGCUUAUGGAUUUUGCAAUAAAGAGGAACAAGAGUAAGAGACAAACGACCAUGGCAGGAACUUCAGAUAAAUAUUUAUGACAGUGUCCAGCCACAACUGAGGACAUGGAUUGGUGUGGCACAGUUCAUACUGGAAAUAUCCUUUGCAUUCACAAGCUGUCAGCCAAGAGGAUGGUUGCAUUUGAAGGCCAGGACACCGGCAGGAGAUUCUUUGGCUACGCUA